rnacentral:tRNA from 4 species
GGAGGAUUAGUCCUAAUUGGUAAGGCAGCGGUCUUGAAAACCGCCGGGUUCUGCCCAUGGGGGUUCGAAUCCCUCAUCCUCCGCCA